AACGAACGCUGGCGGCAUGCCUAACACAUGCAAGUCGAACGAGACCUCCGGGCCUAGUGGCGCACGGGUGCGUACGGCGUGGUAACCUGCCCUUAGGUUCGGAAUCACUCCCCUAAAGGUGUGCUAAUGCAGGUUAGUCUCUUCGCAGCAAAGAUCUCUCGCCUCAGGAUGGGCGCUCGUUGGAUUAGCGGGUUGGUAGGGUAAAAGCAUACCAAGGCGACGUUCCAUAGCUGGUCUGAGAGGAUGCUCAUCCACACUGGAACUGAGGCACGGCCCAGACUCGUACGGGACGCAGCAGUAGGGAAUAUUAGAGGCUGGGGGCAAGCCUGGUCACGCCGUGCGGCGUGAGUGGUGAAGGGCUUAGGAUUGUAAAGCUGUUUUACACGAGAUGAGAAUGACAGUACCGGGAGAAUAAGCUCCGGCUAACUCCGUG
rnacentral:rRNA from 1 species